GUGCCUUAAACUAAUGAGUAAGGAAAAUAUGAGGCUUUGGUAACGCUUAGCAAUGUUUAAAUUAUAAGCGAACCUAUUUUUGAAGAGGAACAGGUCGUCCUGUGGCAGCCUGAACUACUUUUUCAGGUAGCCCAGUGAAGCGAUCUACCUC
rnacentral:snRNA from 1 species